rnacentral:tRNA from 1 species
AAGGUUUUAGCUUAAUUAAAGUGUCUGUUUUGCAUGCAGUGGAUGUGGGGUAGUAUCCCGCAAAUCUUA